rnacentral:tRNA from 1 species
UAGUCAGUAGCCGAAUGGCAGAGGCAGUCGCGGUUUAGCCGACAUGGAUGCUUCUAGGGGAAAUCCCUAGAGUGCCGUACUCAUGGCGAUAACUGGCGAGGCGGCUGCGGGUUCGAUUCCCGCCUGGCUAU